rnacentral:rRNA from 1 species
UACGUAGGGGGCUAGCGUUGUCCGGAAUCAUUGGGCGUAAAGCGCGUGUAGGCGGGACGGCACGUCUGUCGCUGAAAUCCCCCGGCUUAACCGGGGAACUGGCGGAGAUACGACCGUCCUGGAGGGGCGUAGGGGGACCUGGAACUUCCGGUGGAGCGGUGAAAUGCGUUGAGAUCGGAAGGAACGCCCGUGGCGAAAGCGAGGUCCUGGACGCCUACUGACGCUGAGACGCGAAAGCCAGGGGAGCGAACGGG